ACUCAUACCAGCAGCAAAAUUUCUCCCGGUCUUCCCAAGAACAACAGCAGUACCACCAGUCAUAUACUCACACCCAUGAUCGCCAACUCCUUCAACAACAGUGUUAGCACCCGAGUUCCGCACACAAAACCUCUCCGCUGCCAUUCCAUUGAAAUAUGCCUCCCCUUUAGUAGCUCCAUACAAAGCAACAUUGCCGAUAACAAUAUUCUCUUUUGGAUCAAAAAGGGCCUUUCUUGAAGGAUACACAAUUAUCUUGCCACCAGAUAACCCCUUGCCAACAUAGUCGUUACUGUCGCCUUCAAGUUCAAGAGUGAUCCCCG
rnacentral:misc_RNA from 1 species